AUUGAACGCUGGCGGCAGGCCUAACACAUGCAAGUCGAGCGGUAGCACAGAGAGCUUGCUCUCGGGUGACGAGCGGCGGACGGGUGAGUAAUGUCUGGGAAACUGCCUGAUGGAGGGGGAUAACUACUGGAAACGGUAGCUAAUACCGCAUAACGUCGCAAGACCAAAGUGGGGGACCUUCGGGCCUCAUGCCAUCAGAUGUGCCCAGAUGGGAUUAGCUGGUAGGUGGGGUAACGGCUCACCUAGGCGACGAUCCCUAGCUGGUCUGAGAGGAUGACCAGCCACACUGGAACUGAGACACGGUCCAGACUCCUACGGGAGGCAGCAGUGGGGGAUAUUGCACAAUGGGCGCAAGCCUGAUGCAGCCAUGCCGCGUGUGUGAAGAAGGCCUUCGGGUUGUAAAGCACUUUCAGCGGGGAGGAAGGCGAUAAGGUUAAUAACCUUGUCGAUUGACGUUACCCGCAGAAGAAGCACCGGCUAACUCCGUGCCAGCAGCCGCGGUAAUACGGAGGGUGCAAGCGUUAACCAGAAUUACUGGGCGUAAAGCGCACGCAGGCGGUCUGUCAAGUCGGAUGUGAAAUCCCCGGGCUCAACCUGGGAACUGCAUUCGAAACUGGCAGGCUAGAGUCUUGUAGAGGGGGGUAGAAUUCCAGGUGUAGCGGUGAAAUGCGUAGAGAUCUGGAGGAAUACCGGUGGCGAAGGCGGCCCCCUGGACAAAGACUGACGCUCAGGUGCGAAAGCGUGGGGAGCAAACAGGAUUAGAUACCCUGGUAGUCCACGCUGUAAACGAUGUCGAUUUGGAGGUUGUGCCCUUGAGGCGUGGCUUCCGGAGCUAACGCGUUAAAUCGACCGCCUGGGGAGUACGGCCGCAAGGUUAAAACUCAAAUGAAUUGACGGGGGCCCGCACAAGCGGUGGAGCAUGUGGUUUAAUUCGAUGCAACGCGAAGAACCUUACCUGGUCUUGACAUCCACAGAACUUUCCAGAGAUGGAUUGGUGCCUUCGGGAACUGUGAGACAGGUGCUGCAUGGCUGUCGUCAGCUCGUGUUGUGAAAUGUUGGGUUAAGUCCCGCAACGAGCGCAACCCUUAUCCUUUGUUGCCAGCGGUUAGGCCGGGAACUCAAAGGAGACUGCCAGUGAUAAACUGGAGGAAGGUGGGGAUGACGUCAAGUCAUCAUGGCCCUUACGACCAGGGCUACGCACGUGCUACAAUGGCAUAUACAAAGAGAAGCGACCUCGCGAGAGCAAGCGGACCUCAUAAAGUAUGUCGUAGUCCGGAUUGGAGUCUGCAACUCGACUCCAUGAAGUCGGAAUCGCUAGUAAUCGUAGAUCAGAAUGCUACGGUGAAUACGUUCCCGGGCCU
rnacentral:rRNA from 1 species